rnacentral:rRNA from 1 species
CAGUCGCCGCGGUAAUACGAACCGUGCGAACGUUAUUCGGAAUUACUGGGCUUAAAGCGCGUGUAGGCGGGUCGGCACGUCGGUCGCUGAAAUCCCCCGGCUCAACCGGGGAAGUGGCGCCGAUACGGCCGGCCUGGAGGGGGGUAGGGGGGCCUGGAACUUCCGGUGGAGCGGUGAAAUGCGUUGAGAUCGGAAGGAACGCCCGUGGCGAAAGCGAGGCCCUGGACCCUUUCUGACGCUGAGACGCGAAAGCCAGGGGAGCGAACGGGAUUAGAUACCCCCGUAGUCCCUGUCUCUUAUU